rnacentral:misc_RNA from 1 species
UUUCAGCCUAUAGUUAGCCAGGAAUCGCCGAGUUCUACCCCGUUGGAAUCAAACGGCUUUUAGCUGCGUGCCGUUCUGCCGAUGGACUGCGCAAAACACGAAGCAGAUAUUUCUCACAAUCAGCGUAGAACGAAACGGUAAGUAAGAUUCAUUGCCUUCUCAUUGUCGGAGAAGGAAAGAACGGAGUAGCAGACCUUGAGUUUCAUUUCUCUCAAAUAUUUACUGUGAAAUGAAAUUACUGUACGAGCGAUGGAUCUUGGAGUAUUCUGACUGAAUUUCGUAAUCCCUGAAUAACGAACUAAUCCAUCGGUGGCUCCUCACCAACCAAAGAAGAAUUUGAAAUCCAGAGAAAGUUCGACAGAAAGAAGAACUUAUGAAGAUGUACUUGUCGCUAGAGACGACGAUUCGCUUCGUAAAAACAUCGUCGAGACUGAUGUUCGGUUGGCCGCUGCCUCUUGGCACUAAGCGUAUCAUCAUCCUGAGACGUCGGAUUUUGAGGAUCUUAUCGACGGCUAAUAUAAUAAUUAUAGUUUCAGCACAGGUAUUCAAUAUUUACCGCAACAGAGAAGACCGCCUCAACUUGUUCUUAUGCAUGACAGAGAUGACAGCACUAUCUGGUACGAUGGCAUUUGUCUUCAUCUGUCAUAUCGACGAAGACCGCCUUCGAGCAUUGAUAACCGAUAUGACGACGUUCGUGAGAAAUGCUACGGAUCAAGAACUAGCUGUGAUUCGGUUCUACGUGAAAAAGUGUUCAUUACUCCAUGUAACGGUUAUCGCAGUGAUCGUUCUCGGUGGGAUCGUGUACCUUUUGACACCCUUUGUUCUACCUCAGCCCUUACCGAUUAAGGCCGCAUACCCGUUUUCAAUGGAGCCAAUUUGGAUUUGGGCUCUUCUGUACGGCUCACAUGUUUUCACUGCUUUCCAAGUUGCAUCCGCAUUGUGUAUGAGCCUGAUCUUCGCUGUUUUAACCUGGUUCGCCGCUGCCAGAUUUGAUAUCGUGAACACGGAAAUCGAAAGGGCGAGCAAAUUGAAUGAAGUCAACAGAUGUGUUCUGUAUCACCAAGAAUCGCUAAAGUUUGCGAGCAGACUGUCGAAGACUGCGGGUCGUAUGGCUUUUGCGGUGGCCGCAUCGAACUUCGCUGCCGUUAUGUUUGGAGGAGUCGUGAUUACUUUUAGGCAAUUCUACACACUUGAUUUCGUCAAGGUGGUGGCCUUCGAGCUGAUAGCCAUGGUCCAUCUGUUUUUGUACGCCUGGCCAGCGGACUACAUGGCUCAGUUGAGUCAACGUCUAUCGGAAUCCGUUUUACAUGGCCAGUGGCUAGGCAAAUCGCCUAAGAUGCAACGCUCGGUAGUGAUGAUGAUGCAAAGGGCCAAUGAUCCAGUCAUAAUCAAAAUCGACGGCGUGCUUCCUGCCUUGAACCUGGAAACGUUUGGAGCUGGGUUAUCGACCAGUUUCUCGUAUAUCGCAACGCUUCUCGCUAUUUUCGGCGAGUGAAUACGGAAGCAGAUAAUCCGCAGGAUCGCAACGAUUUUGUUGCAUCACGACACGUACCCAAUUUUCUGUAUAUCCGCUGGUCUAGUAAUUCAAACCCAGCGAAAAUUCGGAGAAUAGCCGGUGUAUUGUAACGAUCCUUUUCAAUAAAACAUAAUAGACGUAAACCCAUCUAGCAACGAUCCAAGCCAGUUUUCAAGAAGAUAACUUCAAAAGAUAUUUCCAUCCGUGAAUUCCAAGUCGGAAUUUGCGUCCU